GUGCGAGUUCAUGAAAACACAGAGUUCAGUUCCCAUGUUCGGCUUGUUCUGGAAAGCAACACCAAACUUGAGAAACAGGUGGAGCAGCUGCAGCAGGAUAUGUUAGUCCAGCAGGGGGCGCUGAAGGACAAAAGUCUCGUGGUCAGUAAUCUGGACCGGGACAUCACCCUGUGUGACAGCACUCUUACUACCUUACAGAGGUCUGUGGAGGAGCAGCGAGUGCGGAUCUGCAGCGUUCAGCAUGAACUGAGGGAUCUGCGGGGCGUUCUGGGCUCUGAACUGAGCGAAGAGCUCCCGAGCCUUCGGGCAUCGCUGGACUCCCUCAGACAGCAGGUGGCCGUCACAGAAAGCCUCAGGGAACACCUGGGUAAGUCAAGUCUGAUGCAAAGAAAACAUAUUUCCUAAUAUAUGAAUGAUCAACAUAAAAUGAC
rnacentral:lncRNA from 1 species